UAUUACAAUACACCAGCCUCCCUUAUCCUCUCCAUCUUCUGACCCUCCAAUCCCUAUCCUCUCUCUCACGUGCUACUGCACGCCGGGCGGCGGCGGCCUGCUCAUCUCCGCCGGCGGCUCAGUCUGCGGUGCGCGGCUGGUCUGGGGCGAGGGCGCGCGGGCGACCUGCGGCAAUGGUGAGGGCGCGUGGGCGUGGGCAGCCUACGGCACGGGCGAGGGCGUGCGGGCUGUAGCAAAUGAUGCUGUCACAAAUCAGGCUAAUUUAUGGUUUGACUCUCCAAAAUUUUUGGAAUGACUUAAUUAUAAUUUGGAACGGAGGGAGUAAUUGUAUCUACUUCACGAUUGUUAUCUGAACAGCAUAUUGGAGAGGAGAAGUCCAGCAUGUCAUUUUGUCACUACAUGAAUGGAAGUUUAUGAUAAGAGGACAUGAGGUUUACUAAAUAGAAGCAAACUGAACUAACCUUCAGAACUUUGGAAUGAAUGUAGUAUUUCAAAAUAAAAGGUGCGGUUGCUGCUUCAUUUGAAUGAUUUGAACUCUGCUCAAACGAAAACACAAUGCCCAUGCAGCAGUGAUUACCUGUAAAACCAGCUUCAUGUCUGCAUCAUAGCAAAGACAGAUCAAACAGGAGAGGAUGGUCAUUUACGAAUUAAAUUAGCAAUGGGAAAAUGUUAAAUUAACAAAAACUGCACAAACUGCUCUCUGUUAUGUCACGCUCACCUGCAUGCCGACCAUCUGUGGACAUAGAGACACGUAGGUGGCAGCUGGCACCGACCUUCACUCGCUCUCUGUUUGUCAUCAUGUCCUCUAGUGCCUCGGCUAGCUCCAUCUCUCUCUGCCUAGAAAGGGUGCUGAUCUUGUGCCAGCACGGGAUGAGAGAGGAAGCGUGGUGCCCCAGAUGGGAGCUUGAAGGGGAUUCAGAACUGGUAGUUGUUACCGCGGCGAUGGCGAUCUCCCUGCCAGCGCAGGAAGAGCCAUCGGCGAGAUCCCCGAAUCGAUCACCGUGGAGACCGCACCCACAGCCUCAGAUUCAACAGCCGUGUGCUGCUCCUUGCUCCAGCAGUCCAGCCGCUGUAGCUCCUGCUUGGCGCCGCCACCAUCAGCCGUAAAAGGGAAGGGAGAGAAAAGGGAAUGAGCGAGACAGAGGAGAUGUGGGAAUCGAAGCGAGGGAAGAUAAUACUCCCUUCUUUCUUUUUCUUUUUAAAUGUAAGUCAUUCUAGAAUUUUUAGGAUAAAUUAUGGUUGUUUAAAAAAGACUCUUCUAUCCCUAAUUAUUAAACAUUGUGAAUGUGCUAAUUAAACUAG